GUCCCUCCUUUGCACAUGUUCAAACCAUCUCAAUCUCAACUCUCUGACUUUGUCUCCAAAUAGUCCUGCCUGAGCUGUCCCUCUGACAUGUUCAUUCCUAAUCCUAUCCAUCCUCAUCGCAACAUCUUCAACUCUGCCUCCUGUCUUUUUGUUCGCGCCACCGUUUCCAAGUUGUACAACAUAGCUGGUCUCACUACGCUCUUACAGGGCUGGUAUGAUUUAAAUCAGCUGAUCGCUGUUAAAAAAAAAAUAAAAAAUCAAAAACAUCAUCACGAAUUAUCUUUUUAGAAAUCAGUACUUAAAACAUCACCAAAAUAUGAAAUCAGUACCAUUAAUUAAUGGUAGUUACAGUUACUUGGACAAAUGAUGCCUGAGAAUCUCAAAUCAGUAGUUUCCUGUUAAAAUCACAGGUGAGCUAAUUAGAAGAUUAUCUCCAGCAGGGUCCUGCUCAGUCAUGCAUGAAUUGAGGCUUUGUCUGUGACUGCUUCUUAUGAGAAUAAUGAAGCCUGAAAUUUGCAGCCUGAAUGUUGCAUAUGGCUAAAUAAGUACCAAAUGGCACAAAAUGCUUUCAGAUAUUGAACAUGGAAUAACCUUUUGUAAACAAAGAA